rnacentral:rRNA from 1 species
CCUACGGGUGGCAGCAGUGGGGAAUAUUCGGCAAUGAGCGCAAGCUUGACGCAGCAACGCCGCGUGAACGAAGAAGGCUUUCGGGUUGUAAACUUCUUUUAAGAGGGAAGAGCAGAAGACGGUACCUCUUGAAUAAGCCACGGAUAACUACGUGCCAGCAGCCGCGGUAAUACGUAGGUGGCAACCGUUGUCCGGAUUUACUGGGGGGAAAGGGCGUGCAGCCGGGAAGACAAGGCAGUUGUGAAAUCCCGCGGCCUAACCGCGGAAUUGCAUUUGAAACUAGUUUUCUUGAGUAACGGAGAGGUCAUCGGAAUUCCAUGUGUAGCGGUGAAAUGCGUAGAUAUAAGGAAGAACACCAGAGGCGAAGGCGGAUGACUGGACGGAAACUGACGGUGAGGCGCGAAAGCGUGGGGAGCAAACAGGAUUAGAUACCCUGGUAGUC